rnacentral:rRNA from 1 species
AAAUUGAAGAGUUUGAUCAUGGCUCAGAUUGAACGCUGGCGGCAGGCCUAACACAUGCAAGUCGAGCGGUAGCACAGAGAGCUUGCUCUCGGGUGACGAGCGGCGGACGGGUGAGUAAUGUCUGGGAAACUGCCUGAUGGAGGGGGAUAACUACUGGAAACGGUGGCUAAUACCGCAUAAUGUCGCAAGACCAAAGUGGGGGACCUUCGGGCCUCAUGCCAUCAGAUGUGCCCAGAUGGGAUUAGCUAGUAGGUGGGGUAACGGCUCACCUAGGCGACGAUCCCUAGCUGGUCUGAGAGGAUGACCAGCCACACUGGAACUGAGACACGGUCCAGACUCCUACGGGAGGCAGCAGUGGGGAAUAUUGCACAAUGGGCGCAAGCCUGAUGCAGCCAUGCCGCGUGUGUGAAGAAGGCCUUCGGGUUGUAAAGCACUUUCAGCGGGGAGGAAGGCGUUAAGGUUAAUAACCUUGGCGAUUGACGUUACCCGCAGAAGAAGCACCGGCUAACUCCGUGCCAGCAGCCGCGGUAAUACGGAGGGUGCAAGCGUUAAUCGGAAUUACUGGGCGUAAAGCGCACGCAGGCGGUCUGUCAAGUCGGAUGUGAAAUCCCCGGGCUCAACCUGGGAACUGCAUUCGAAACUGGCAGGCUAGAGUCUUGUAGAGGGGGUAGAAUUCCAGGUGUAGCGGUGAAAUGCGUAGAGAUCUGGAGGAAUACCGGUGGCGAAGGCGGCCCCCUGGACAAAGACUGACGCUCAGGUGCGAAAGCGUGGGGAGCAAACAGGAUUAGAUACCCUGGUAGUCCACGCCGUAAACGAUGUCGAUUUGGAGGUUGUGCCCUUGAGGCGUGGCUUCCGGAGCUAACGCGUUAAAUCGACCGCCUGGGGAGUACGGCCGCAAGGUUAAAACUCAAAUGAAUUGACGGGGGCCCGCACAAGCGGUGGAGCAUGUGGUUUAAUUCGAUGCAACGCGAAGAACCUUACCUGGUCUUGACAUCCACAGAACUUUCCAGAGAUGGAUUGGUGCCUUCGGGAACUGUGAGACAGGUGCUGCAUGGCUGUCGUCAGCUCGUGUUGUGAAAUGUUGGGUUAAGUCCCGCAACGAGCGCAACCCUUAUCCUUUGUUGCCAGCGGUCCGGCCGGGAACUCAAAGGAGACUGCCAGUGAUAAACUGGAGGAAGGUGGGGAUGACGUCAAGUCAUCAUGGCCCUUACGACCAGGGCUACACACGUGCUACAAUGGCAUAUACAAAGAGAAGCGACCUCGCGAGAGCAAGCGGACCUCAUAAAGUAUGUCGUAGUCCGGAUUGGAGUCUGCAACUCGACUCCAUGAAGUCGGAAUCGCUAGUAAUCGUAGAUCAGAAUGCUACGGUGAAUACGUUCCCGGGCCUUGUACACACCGCCCGUCACACCAUGGGAGUGGGUUGCAAAAGAAGUAGGUAGCUUAACCUUCGGGAGGGCGCUUACCACUUUGUGAUUCAUGACUGGGGUGAAGUCGUAACAAGGUAACCGUAGGGGAACCUGCGGUUGGAUCACCUCCUUA